rfam:Gossypium raimondii Chr09_contig_747, whole genome shotgun sequence.
GGCCGUCUAGCUCAGUCGGUAGAGCGCAAGGCUCUUAACCUUGUGGUCGUGGGCGUUGGAGUCCU